rnacentral:rRNA from 1 species
UACGAAGGGUGCAAACGUUGCUCGGAAUUAUUGGGCGUAAAGGGUAGGUAGGUGGUCAUACAAGUCUGGGGUGAAAUCCCUGAGCUCAACUCAGGACGUGCCUUGGAAACUGUAUUACUAGAGUGCUGGAGAGGUCCGCAGAAUUCCCGGUGUAGCGGUGAAAUGCGUAGAGAUCGGGAGGAAUACCAGAGGCGAAGGCGGCGGACUGGACAGUCACUGACACUCAACUACGAAAGCGUGGGUAGCAAACAGG